rnacentral:lncRNA from 10 species
CUCCCAUAUUUGGUCAUUUUAGUGGGAUGGCAUAGACAUUUUGCUUACUGCUAAGGGGAAAAUAAAGACAUUUUACUUGGUCUGUGGAGGGUUUGAUUUCCCCAAGACUUUUUUCCCCCCUCCUUUUAUUCUUUUUUUUUUGGGUAUAAUUCUCUGUGCACUGAAGACAUUCUGUUCUGGUAAUGUGUACGGUGAAGUUAACCUCAAUGUGACGUACCAAGGGCAUGUGAAAUCACAAGGAGAAAGUGCAGUAUUUACUGUGUGAGCAGCUAUUCCAGUCAAUGACAUUUCAGCUGGUGCCUCUGUACUCUAAAAAACACCUGGAAAGGACACGCCAGAAAGAAGAAGCCACUAAACAGGAAAAGGUCAUGAGAGAUGAGAAGAUGAUCAAGGGAAAAGGAUAUAGGAUGAAGAUACACAAGUUCGGGUGGGGAGGAGAAGAAGAAAAGGAAGAGGAUAAUUGGAAGGAAAUAUCUUUCUCUACCCCUGACCAAAUUGACUGGUUUGAGUUUGUUGCCUGAUGUAAGCAGCAUCAAUGAGCCCAAGGCUGUGGUACAUAAAGCCCACAAACUACAUGGAUUGUGAUAUUCAUCCAGACUGGAGAAGAAUAAAGCUGCCAUUUUAGGCCAAAAGAGAGGAGAACAAGGUGACUAAGAUGUUCAAGGAACUAUUUCUUAUUGUUUCUGAGGCUCAGAUGACCCCAUGAUCUCUGUUAUUUGGGUAGACCAUAAAAUAAUCUAGUGUCCUUUCAUUGAUUU